CCCAGACUCCUACGGGAGGCAGCAGUGGGGAAUAUUGCACAAUGGGGGAAACCCUGAUGCAGCGACGCCGCGUGAGUGAAGAAGUAUUUCGGUAUGUAAAGCUCUAUCAGCAGGGAAGAUAAUGACGGUACCUGAGUAAGAAGCCCCGGCUAACUACGUGCCAGCAGCCGCGGUAAUACGUAGGGGGCAAGCGUUAUCCGGAUUUACUGGGUGUAAAGGGAGCGUAGACGGCAUGGCAAGUCUGAAGUGAAAGCCCGGGGCUCAACCGCGGGACUGCUUUGGAAACUGUUAAGCUGGAGUGCAGGAGAGGUAAGUGGAAUUCCUAGUGUAGCGGUGAAAUGCGUAGAUAUUAGGAGGAACACCAGUGGCGAAGGCGGCUUACUGGACUGUAACUGACGUUGAGGCUCGAAAGCGUGGGGAGCAAACAGGAUUAGAUACCCGAGUAC
rnacentral:rRNA from 1 species